CCCCCUUCCCUGCCUUCUCCUGGGGUAACUUUCGCAACUCACUGUGUGAGCGGCUGUUCUCCCACUACGCAUGCGCCCCGUUCCAUUAAGAGAGAAAGGAGACAGUCCUCUGCGCGAUGAGUACGCGCAACAAACCGCCCUCCCCCCAACAGCAAGCAGCAUGCUCAGGCGUGGCGAGUGUUUCCAACGUUUCCUGAUCGGCAUCCACUUCCCCCAUUCCCAGCCUUAGGAAAUGUUUUGGUUAUUCUGGGGUCUGGGGGCAUACGGCCCACAAGGGCGAGUGUCACGCACGGCGAGGGCAUCCUAAAAGUUGCUGUUCUACUGGGCCUGUGUAUGGAUUUUUCAGUAACAACAACAAUAGAAGAGGAAGACGAAGAAGAAGAAGAGCUGAUGGUACUACCAGUACAGAGUACCAUCACCUCUUUUUUUUUUGUCCUGCCCAUGUCAGUCAACCAUUUUAUGCUGACACCCACAAUACUUUUAUCAUGGUAUGAGUACCGGCAUCUCAUUUUUUACAACAGCAACAACAACAAUAAAAACCACUGGUUAUGAUGAUGAUGGAUUAUAUGACCAUCUUUGCUGCUCUCUGUGGAAUCUGUUCCAAUUCGUCUACAGCUGAUUUGUCUG